CUCUAGAUAAUUCUCCAGAUAAUAGCUAUAGGCAUUUUUUUUUCUUAAAUGCUGAAACUGGUUCUCUAUAACCAGUUUUUUUUUGUUGUUUUUUUAAUGUGUAUUUUCUAUAACCAGAAACUACCACAUCUCAGAACAAAGCAGCCCAGUAUAAAUGUGUUGGAUCUGAACUGUAUGCAGAUGGCUUAAGUAGAACAUAUUAAAAUGUAUUUUUCUAAACCGAUUACAUGGAAAGACUUGUUACACAUUCAUGGCUGCCACAGAGAUGAGUCAUUUGUUCAUCUUUCCAGCUAACAUUGACUUAGCACCCCCAGGCUCUGGAAAACACAACCCCGCUCGGGAGAUGGGUGUGGAGUUUGCUGCUGUACCAUGAAGAAAUCCUGUGCUUGGAGCCCAGCAGAAGGUCACCUGUCUGGUCCAGGAAAGGCAUGUCAUCAGGUUGAGGUCUCCAGUAUGAACUGGGGUGCCCCCGGAGGGGGUUGGGGAACAGGAAAUGAGCUUUUACAAUGCAGAACACUCAUGAAACAGACAAGUUGUCAUGCAGCUCACAGCCCUGGGGGCUGGGGACAGGUACAUAGACAAUUUCAUUAUCAAAAGAUGAAUGUUUUGACAGUGGAGGUUCAGAGUAUGGGACGGAUCCUGAAAUGUGACAGGAGGAAGUCACGGCCAUAUGCAGACCAAAGCUCAAAUGAUAAGUUAUAGAGACCAUGGGAGGCUUGCAAUGGACCUGGCAAAGACAAGAUGUAAACACCUAUAGUGCUGAUUCUCGGGAGGAAGGGGUAUCACCAUUUAGUUCAGCAUCUCCAGUGGCUUAGAAGCUGGAUGACCUUUGGCCUCAAUCUCUUUAUUUGUGAAAUAGGAAUGAUGAUAUCCUUUGGUAAACUCUGCGCAAAAGUCUAAGUGCAACUACUUCCCCCAACCCAAUCCUAACAAUUCCAACGUGUUGGUCUCUCUUCACAUCUCCUCAACUUCCUUCUCAGAAUGUGUCCUAAUUCUUAGUUCAGAAAAUAUGGCUUUCCUCAAGAAAAGUGCUGUUUUAAUUCAGAGAUUCCUCAGACAGUACUCCCGGCUGGGAAGACAGUGCAGUUCGCUCAUGCCAGGUUCACUGGAAUCACUUUUUUUCUCCUGAGUUUCUCUCCCCUCUUGCUUAAUGCUGUCAGGACCUGUGGAUUUAGCAAGUCCCCAGACCUGUGCAAUGCACAAAAGGAGGUGAAGGAAACAAGAAUGGAAGAGGAGGAAGGAGGAAAGAAAAGAAGGAAGAAAAGGAGGGACAGAGACAGGCAGGCACAAGUUCAGCCCCUUGAAAAGGCAAUUACUAAUUUUGGAAGACGCUUAGCAGAGGGGAGCAGGAGCACCCCGGCACUUACUACAGGCCUGCUCUGCGUGAACCUCUCUGCUUGAUGAGCGAGCCGAGCCUCUGAGAAGCAACGUGACUCUCCUGAGCAUCCCUGGGUGGCAGAGAUGGCACCUGGACCAGGCCUGCGUGGCGACAGGAUCCCGUGGGCUCCGGCCUUCCCCUCGGCCCGGCACGCCCUGCCUCUGUGGAGCUCCUCACGCACUGCUUCACGUCUUAGCAGUUACCUCUUCAGCGGGGCUUCCCCUGACGACUGCACCAGGAGGGAUGAAACGGAGUUCGUUCAUGAUGCAUGGAGCACACAGUCUGCGUCUCGAUGCUUUUUACCUAUAACAGGCUGUUGGUAAGUGCGGCUCACUGUUCUAAUCGCUUUUCAUGUAACAGCUCAUUUAAUUCUCACAACAGCCUGAUGUGGCAGGGACAAUUUUCCUCCGCUUUGUGGAUGAGAAACCUGAGCCACUAAACGACUAAGGAAUUCGCCCAAGGACACAGGGUUUAACGCGGGCAGAGCUGGGGUCUGAAUUCCAUGCAUGCCAUCUCCAGAGCCUGCGCCCUCAGCCGCUGUGUCUCCAGCUCCCACGGAGGAGCAAAGGCUUAGGGAACCUGUGGCACUUCAUCCGAUGGUUGCAGCCAGGCAGUGAGGCCACCGCGGUUCCUCCCGCCAUACGGAUUAGAAAGCCCAGUUCACGGUGGCACAUUAGCUUGUGCUAGGUCACUUACUAGUGAGUGGGAAAGGCCUGGUGCGAAAUUCUGAGUAAGUGACUCCAGAGUCAACACCAUGGUGGACUGGACUCCCAACCAGGAGCCGUGCGUACACAUAACCUAAAUGGGGAUACCGGCUACCCCACGCAGACAUGAGAAUUAAUCAGAGUGGAAACCCAGUAGGUCCGCUCCACACAUUUAAGGUGAAAUCUUUUAUGUACUCUGGCACAUCGCGAAGUGGGUUGGUCAUUCUCCUGCUGCCCACUGGACCCACUCCCCGCCCCUUUCAAUGCUGCUCUAUCCUGGGAGGUUGACCUCUUGGAAACGCUUCAGGUGGGCUUCCCUGGCCUCUGGCUCCUGUGUGGACUCAGCCCUGGGCAGCCUCUUUGGACUCCACAUGGGGUAGGACCAUGAGACAUAUAUUUGGGGAGUCAUUGACAGCUGGGUUUCCUAUUCUAUAGCCCCAAAUCUGUUCUUCUGACACUGUACAGCCCCAUGCUAGAGCCACUAGCCCCAUGUGGCCAGUGGGCACUUGAAUUGGGGCUAGGAGUAGUGAAGAACCAUUUUUAAUGUGAUUUAAUUUUAAUUAAUUGAUUUAAAUCUAAAAAAAUGGAAGCAGUGUAAGCUAUUUUCCCAUUAAACACAACUUUGUUGUCUUAUAGUUUGUUUAGACCCACAUUUUACUUGAACCGUUGAAGUUUUUGCAUCUGGAUUGAGAUGUGCUGUGGGUGCAAAAUACACAUAUUAAAAAAAAGUAAACUAUCUUAUUAAUAUUUUUAAAUUAUUGAUGACAUGUCAAAAUAUUGUUCUGGAUAUACAGGGUUAAAUAAACGAUCUUACUAAAAAGAACUUCACCCGUCUCUUUUCACCUCGUUAAUGUGGCUGUAAGAAAAUUUAAAACUACACACAUGGCUCACACAUGCCUGUGGUCUGUGGACGCCCCACCGAGUCUGUGGGUUCUGUGCUUUGUUUGCACUUUACAUCCAUUUAUCUCAUGGAACUCUUAAAGGAUCCAUUUGUAGGAGUAAUGUUGCCUUCAUUCUACAGAUGGGGAGAGAGAGGCCGGAAUAGGGUGCUUUGCACAAAGCACCCAGCUGAUCAGGGGAAGGCCCAUGUCUAUCGGGCACCUCAACUGGUGCUUCAGCCAUCACACGCUCCAGGGUAACAACGCAUAGAACUGUGCACAGAUCACGAUGGUUUGUGUGUGCAAGUUGCCGUAGCAUUGCAGACCUGUUACCAGCCGAGUGUGGUUCGGACGACUGGGAGAUAAUUGAUUUGAAGGAUAAGAUUUGACAGAGGAAGCUGGCACUUCCCCAUGUACCAGCUGCCAUCUGUGGCUGGAUCCCAUCCAUCAAGGUUGCUUGACAAUUAAGAUCGAGAACUA